GACCUCGUAGCUCAAAUGGUAGAGCGUCUGACUCCAGAUCAGAAGGUUGCGUGUUCGAUGCCCGUCGGGGUCA